UAUUGCCCCGGCACAUCAGCACAAAUCAAUAAACAUUGCAGCUGCAGCGACAGCAGCAGACCCGUGCGUCCGUCGGUCCGUCUGCCCCCUCCCCCACCCUCCUUCCACCCGAGACCAAGAGCGCCAUCCAAGCUCCAUUAUCCGGCUUCAGCGCUCCGUGCGUCCGGCCCAGGUAACAACUUCCCCAAAAACCGAAAGAGAAAAAUGAGAGGCGUACGCACAGAACCCCAUCCCAGCGCGGAGAAGGAGUCUCCCCCGGGGAGGGGGGAUCUGUCUGUGGUGCUUCCCUAAGACCAGUGAGAAAGAAUAUGGCUACGGAGUUCUUGACAACCAUCUUUUGACCACAGUGAGAGCCAGCCUUUGGAAAUAAAGUUGACACUGCUGAAGGUAGAGUGGUGAAACUAAAGGAAACUGGAUAACAUUCUUGAGCCACUGGAUCAAGCCCACCCUGAAGCCUAACUACUACUUUUUAUUCCUCUAAAUAUUAUUAUUUAAUGGAAGACUUCACCAAUGAAGCCAUCUGGGCUUGGAGUUUUCUUCAGGGGGGAGCAUUGAUGUACUCCAAGGUGUAUCCCUUAAAAUGGAAGUUGAUUUUUCACAUUAAACUUUUCAAUUGAUCCAUGUUUUACGAGAUCCAAAUUUUCUGUGUGUUGCUGAGCCGAAAUCCUCACCAAGAAGCCUCAGACAUCUUGAGGCAGUGGAAGAAGACUUGUGGUUCCAGAGAGACUCAAGACCAAAACUUAAGACCAAAAUUUUUCAAAACUAGUGACUGGUGCCCCCGCACUUCCCCCCACCAAGAAGGAGCAGCAGCCUUGAGGUAGAUAGCCUGGAAUAUUCCACUGCACACUCAGGUCAUGUUGGGGGAGAGAUCAGGUUAUUCUAACAUGCCCAUUAAUGUAUAUGAAUUACUUAGUUAAUUCCAAUGAGUUGCUUCUAUUUGAAAAGAAUUGUAUCAGGAAUUGGAAGUGUAAAACAUGGUCCGAUAAUGAAGGCAUAAUUAAAUGAAGACAUAAGUUAUUACAAUGUAAAGUUAAAUCAGAGGCAGAUUUAACAUGAAGAAGCUGCAGUGUAAGUGCCCCUCACUUCCAUAGGCCCUUUCCAAAGCUUUGGGAGAGACCCUAUAAUCAUACUUAUGUGGUCAUACAUUCAGUAAACUUUGAAAAGUGAGAAGUUUUUUUUUUAAACUAAAGUUAAACUGUCUCUUUCUCAUCUUACUUUCCCUACCAUUGAAAUGGCCAAUGACAUUUUUGAGACCCAACAAAAAAGUUGUAUUGAGGACACAUGUAGUUGAGUUCAUUGAAAUAUAUGUAUAGGGCUCACAAAUACUUCCUUUUAGAAUGAACUGAUUGCCAGCUACACUGGUUUAGGAGUGAUUUCUAGAAAUGUCUUACUACCCCUGUGCUGACCCUUUGAGUUCAUGGCUUGAGGGUAUAGAACAGAGGCUUUACCAUGACAGGAACAUGCCCUGUGGCACUCAGCCCAGGAAGUAGAUGGUUCCUGGAGGAGAUGCUAGGGUUUGACAUGUGUGCAGCCAGAAAUGAGUCUGGAGAAUUCUUCCAAUCAGACAUGUAGAACUGUAAAUGAAGGAUAUGGUUCUAAUAGUGCUGGUCAGAUCAGAACUUUGCAAAGUCAGGAAUACUUUUAAUAACACAGCAUAAGCGGUAAUACACUUGAACAGGUGCCAUCUUUUCCUUCUUUUUGUUGGUAAUUGUACAAAAUAAUAGAAUACAUAGGUCUCGAGGCACAAGCUGGUAGCAGUACUACAAAGAGGGAGUCCAUCUAUAUGUGAAGUUCUACAGUAUAGUCGUUCCAGUUAUCAACAAUAAAAACAGAAGAAAGACUGAAUUGUAUCUCCAUUUUCUCUAUAGAAAAUACUACAAUUAAGUCACUCUACCAGGUAGCUAUUGAACAAAAAUGUUAUUUUUCUGGAUUUUGAAUAUUCAUUGUAUUCG